UAAAAACAUAACAGGUUAUAAUUUCCCGAACCCGUUAAAAUAACUAGGAGUAAUUAACCUAGUUAGUGGCUUGUGAUUAAGUGACUAAUGGUGAGGCAUAGCUUUAUUUGAUCAAAAGAAAACUAGAGGGACCAAAAGUGUUUAACUUGAAACUUAUAUCAAUAAAAAAAAACCCUCAAACACUCACAUUUGUGAGUGUCUGAGUUCGACCAGAAUGCCAGGGGCGACCAAGGGGAAGAACUCCAAACAUAGUUCUUGUUUAAAUCCACAAAUUGAAGGUCAAGAUCAGCCCUAAAACGAGAUCUGAACCCGGAUUAGUGAUCCCCAUUAAAAGGGGAGUCACAAGUUGACUCUAAACAAGCUAGGUGGGAGCUUGAAAAGGAACGGGUCAAACGGAUCAUGGAUGCGAAGAAUGUUUGCGCGGACGCGAGGGUAAAACGGCUUAUGGAAUUUACGUGGCUAUGAAUCAGCAAAUUAUUAAGGCAAGGUAUUAAAACGGGUCAAUACUUUGACCCGCGCCAGGUACGCGUAAAUUUGGUGAAAGAUAUGUGAAUA